rnacentral:lncRNA from 1 species
GUAGUUCAAUAGGCAUUAUGAAUUUUGUAAUAUCCUUGCAGUGUUUUUACUAAAAGCCAAAGCAGAAUGACCCUAGCUGAACAAUACAUCUUGUAAAAUUGCAGCAGUUGCUAAAAGCUUGAAUACUGCAGAUAGCCAUGGGUCUGAAUGCAGUUCUGUGUACUCUUUAAGAACAAUUGAUAUAAUUUUCAGGUAUCUGAAGUACAGAGACUCAUCUGCUGCAUUCUGCCAGGCAAUCAUGAGGUUGAAAGUGGCCUGGAUCUCACCUAACAACUGUAAUCCACCAUCAACAAGUUGGAAGAAAAUGAAUAUAAGAUAUCAGAGCAAGAGGAACAGAGAAGGGAAGUGUGACAGAGGGGUAAUGCUUAAGAUGAUCCAGGAGGAAAAAACAACCCCUAAAUAGAUUCCAUAUUCCCUUGCUGUCCUUGUGAAAGGAGGAUAAGUCAAGGCUAGACAGAGAUGCAAAAAAGAUGAUACAACACAGGAAGAGGAAGUGACAAGAUGAAAGUUUUGCUGAGAUCAAACAAGAGAAAUGAGAACUAUAAGAGUCAUUCCUUCCUCUUGCAUUUGCAAGUUCAGGAUUGGCUUGUGCAAGGAGCCACAAGGGAAAAAGCAGAGUUUAACGGAUGACCUAGAGAUGCAGGGCCUGAUUCACUGCUCCAUUACACCAGUUUAGACUGGUAUAACUCUGACUUCAGUGCAGAAAAAUGGUGCAACACAGUAGUGAAUCAGCCCCUAGUUUGGACAAAUGUUAUAACAGUAUAGAGCCUGAACUAUGUGGGCUAUGGUGCAGAACACUAACAGUGCAAUGAUUUCCUAGAAUCAUAGAAUAGCAAGACUGGAGUCUCCUGCACUCAUGGCAGGAUUAAGUAUUAUCUAGACCAUCCCUGACAGGUGUUUGUCUGACAUGCUCUUAAAAACCUCCGAUGAUGGAGAUUCCACAACCUCCCUAGGCAAUUUAUUCCAGUGCUUAAUCACUCAUUAGGAAGUUUUUCCUAAUGUCCAACCUAAACCGCCCUUGCUGCAAUUUAAGCCCGUUGCUUCUUACCUUAUCCUCAGAGGUUAAGGAGAACAAUUUUUCUCUC